rnacentral:rRNA from 1 species
AACGAACGCUGGCGGCAUGCCUAACACAUGCAAGUCGAACGAUGCCUUCGGGCAUAGUGGCGAACGGGUGAGUAACGCGGGGGAACCUGCCCGGGGGUACGGAAUAACUCCGGGAAACUGGAGCGAAUACCGGAUGUGUCCCCUGGGACAAAGAUUUAUCGCCACGGGAUGGGGCCGCGUAGGAUUAGCUUGUUGGGGGGGUAACGGCCUACCAAGGCUACGAUCCUUAGCUGGUCUGAGAGGAUGAUCAGCCACACUGGGACUGAGACACGGCCCCGACUCCUACGGGAGGCAGCAGUGGGGAAUAUUGGACCAUGGGCGCGAGCCUGAUCCAGCACUGCCGCGUGAGUGAUGAAGGCCUUCGGGUUGUAAAGCUCUUUCGCACGCGACGAUGAUGACGGUAGCGUGAGAAGAAGCCCCGGCUAACUUCGUG